GGCCGUGGGCUCGCCAGCCGCCCCUCCGCACCCCUUCGCCGUCCCGGGGGGCUGCCGUCAGGUGGCGGCGCCCCGCCCGCCGCGGGCCCCCGGGGCCGAGCUUCCGGGCGUGUGCGUGUGCCCACCGCCCCUCCUCCUGGCUCCACACACACUCACACACUCACACGCGUGUGUGUGCGUCAGCCGUCCCCACGCACGCACGCAGAGCGGCGCCCACCUCACGCCUCCCCCCCCCCCCCCCCCCCUUUCUCCUUCCCUCCUCCGCCGUUAUCUGCGUGCGGCGGGGAAACGCCGCCUGGAGCGGGGACUGUUUAAUGCAAUAAAUCCGUUUUUACGCCGCGGGGCUCACGCCGAGCACCCCCGUUCCCCGGGUGGGGGUGCCCCUGCCUCUUGUACACACCCCAGGGGGGAGAAAAGUGAGGCUGGGGUCGCGCAAAUAUAAAAAAAAAUAAAGAAGGGGAUGGAGGGGGAGAGAAAGCGAUGCGGGGCCGCCCGCAGCCUCCUUUGGAAAUGAGCAGCUGAGGGAAGGAGGGGGAGAGGCUGGGGAAGACCACCGUGGUGGUUAAUAAUGCUGGGAGGCUGCCAUAAAGCGGCUGCUGAAGGAGGGCCUCUCCCGCCGCCUCACGGGGAGAUGCUGGGUCUUGGCUGGGGGGUGGUGGGGUUUGGGUUGUUUCUUGGGGAAGGGGAAGCAGGGGGGGAAAGGCAGGCGGUGGAGGUGUGAGGCCCUGACCUCCCUGCCAAGGGCGCCCGCCGUGCGCUGCUGAUUCACCGGGUCACCCUGGGCAAGGUCCUCGCCGCCUCCCCGCGCCCCAGCCGAAAGCAAGCCGUCCUGACCCUGUUUGCUGUCCUGGCAACGGGCGCCGGUUCCUGUGUCUGGAAAAUGCAUGGAAGAGUUCUAUUCCUCACUGUGUUAUUUUCUUCCAAGUGUCUUACAUCAGUAAAGGAGGUUUGGAAUAUUUUCCCCCAAACCCACAGGGAAUGGGAAAUGUCCAUUUGAUUACUCUUCCGUCUAUUCAGAUCAUCUAAUAAGGAGAGGUAAGCUGCAUAUAGGAAGUUUAGGAUACAUCUGAGUUUAGAAAUUCACUUAUUUCUGUGACACGAUGGGAACUGUAAUCAUUUUUUGGCUAAGGAAUUGCUGACUUUGUGAAAUCUUUCAAGGCUACGGAAGUAGAUUUUUUAAAGGUGAAUAACUCCAAAGCCAGAUGUUUCAGGAGUUGCUCUCGUCUCUAAAAAGCAGCUGUCAUGGAUGUGGAUCAUUCAGCCAAGACCCGGUGCACCACCUCCUAGCGACCCCAGCAAAGAAAACUCUUCCUACAGCUGGAGCUGUAUAAGGACCUGGCAGAAGCCUCGGGAACGCAGCCUCCCAGAAACGCGUCAGAACAGCAAAUGUGCUAAACAUCUAACUGCAUCGCAGUGGUAUAAAUUACACAGACGGAGGUAUCGAUUGUGAAAAGAUCAGAUAGUUUUAAAGUCAGUGGAUGGCUGUCAAGUUGUUAAUUGAACAUUUGCUGAAAAAUGCCUGUGGCAAUUUACCAAGAAAUAGACCUUUUACAACACUGGUCUUAUGAGAACCUACCAACCUUCUCAGAAGAAGGAUUCAUUAGAGCUAUUUUCCUAGUAAGGCCCAGAAAAAGAAAGACAGAGUGGCUAAGAAAAUACAUGUGAUCUCUGGAGGCAUGAGUCGCCUACCAUGUGAAGGCAAUUUGAUUGUCCAGGUCACCACACAUACCAUUUGUUUGCCACAUGAAAUGCUGGAGACCAAGCCACAGGCUCUUUAAUGCUAACUUAAAUCUCUGGAAGAGAGUUGAGCAAAAGGUUAUUGUACUUGUGAGCAACAGCAAGCCAACUUCCUAAGCAUGCCUUGAAGUAGGGUACCACCAGGAAACGUGGUGAUUCAUGCUGGCGUGAUUUCAGAAGGUAGUGCCCCCAGCCCUCUGCUGCAGCUCUCUGGGGAGGUUACCAUGCCUACAGCACAACCAGGGUGCUUGCUGCUCAGCUGCACCAGCCCACGGCCCAGCACACUACAUUUAACUGGAACUGAUGGACAUUUACGGCAGCACACCAAGCGUGAGACUGUGGCAGCUGAAAGGCAGGCGUAGUUCCCGUUCUGUCAGGUGACAAAGGAGUGAAAAUUUCUUUCCGAGAAGCAGAGCAGCCAACAGGAGCAAUAUACUUUUCUAAGUUGCCCUAACUGUGUUCGUUUUAAAGCAUUCUUUUAUUUGCUGCCAUUUUGCACUGUUGGUUGAUGUCACUUAUCUUUUCCAAGCAAUACUGUGCAAACACAGCUACCAACAUGGUGCUUUGCGUGGCCAUAUGAGGCCAGAAGGUGGGUCUGGUACUCUACCAUCAUCGUAAAUAUAACAAUGUGGAGCUGUGCAGUCUGAAACAUAGACACAGGCUAUGUCUUCACUAACAGCUCACAUUAAUACCUUCCUCCCAAGAAAUCGGUCAAUACAACGUUAAGUACAAUGUGCCUUCUUUCCAUUACACAACAUGUUUUGACUGGGAAACACCAGGGAAAUGAGCACUGCUGUGAAAAAUAAAUAAAUAAAUAAAUAAAUAAAUAAACAUUUGUAUAGACCUUCAUGGUUACUCUGUUGUCUAGACAGAGGCUGCUUCUGAGCUGAACUAUUUAACAUUUGAGUUUCAGGUGGUUUCUCUCUUCUUUACUAUUCAGACAUAAUGUUGCCCCUUAGUUCCCUGGACAGGAACAUCACAUAUUACUUCUCUCCACACUUAAGAGAGGGGGAAUUUUUUAGGUAGGGGUCUUUUCCAAGUGUUGCUUCAGAGAAAUCACUGGCAACAUUCCUUAAAAA